CAAACCUGUUCAUUCCUAAUCUCAUACUUCCCAAAUGUUCAACUUCCACAGCUAUGUCAUCAACAACUCAUUUCACAAGGCCUCUAGUGGGAUAUAAUAUUGUUAUGAACAAGUAGCAACAAUAAAGGCAUAGAAAGACUUUUUUUUUUUUUUUUUUAAAUUCUGUCUCUUGAUUCCUUGUUUGGCUAAUGUGAAUAAGAUUCAUUUACCAUAAGUUAACAUCUUGACAGCUCUUGAUUCUUUGGCAAAUCUGGAUAUAUUUUGAUGGUUUAGACUCUUUGAGGAAGAAGGGAGGCAUUUCUUUUUUCUUUUUUAUUUUUUUGACAUUUUUGCCAAAGAAUGUCAAAAAGAUACAAUAUGGACCAAUUGGCUGGGCUGUAGGUGUGACUCUUGGAUAUGCACUGGCUGCACGGAAUAAGCGAGUGAUUGCUUCCAUUGGUGAUGGUAGCUUCCAGGUGACAACACAAGAUGUGUCAACAAUGCUGAGAUGUGAACAGAGGACCAUCAUCUUCCUUAUAGAACUCGAGAAUUUUUGUUUCUUAGUGGAUGCUUUCAUAGUACUUGCAUGUAUAAUUAGUUUGAAUUUUGUGCCGAUUUGUUUUGUAAUAAUUUUUAACUUACCACUAGGCACUAGUUUAACUUUAUUUCAUCUCGGAAUUGAAAUAUUUUUGCAUAUUGAGAAACAUGAAUUGAUCUAGU